UCUAGCCCAGUUACACACACGUACAUCCAAUAUCAUUUCAUAUUCAAAUCAGGAAAACUCCAUAUGAAAUUCAAAUCAUCCAACGCAUCACAUCAGGUUUACAUAACAAAUCAUCUCAGGAAUACAUUUCCUUACACAGGAAUAUAGAAGGAACAGAGGGAAUAUGCAAUAAGACAAUUAUGGCACAUCCUACAACUUGCCAUCCUACAACAAGAAGUAUAUAACAGGAGACUUGCUCCAGCUGCGACAACUUGCCAUCCUACAACAAGAAGUAUAUAACAAUGAACUUCAAGAACAUUACAGGAGCUAAACGCCCAAUCAACGCGAAGUGCUCAAAAAUGCCUUAGCGCAUGCAUUCAAAAUUUAGACACUUGACAUAGCCUCAUCAUGCAAUAAAUUAUAGAAAGUAAACGAGGACCAGACUUUACAAUUACAGACACAUCCAUCAAUCCAUGAGGCAAAAUCAUGUGAAUCCAAAAGGAGAGGCAGGAAGGGAUACCAAUUUUGAUCCUGAGGGGCUACGAGUGUGGCCUUCUUCCGGAAGAGGUUGGCCCUAACGCACCUUGUAUCAGAGGCGCUGGGAGCUCAUAGAUUGUCCUGAUCAGUGAGCAGGUCCUCGCAUCCGGUCAUACUGCUAGCCUGAGUAACAGAAAAAUGAAAGGAACAAUUUAGACUUGGUAUUAAUGAACAAAGACUGUAAUCAAUAGCAGAUUAAGCGCCAAUUUUCUCGGAUGCAAGGAGAAGAAUGAGCAAAACAACACAGAGAUGUGGGACAAUGCUGUACCUGUAGAUGAUGUUCGCAGCCAAGGAAGACAUGGGGCCAGCCUUGCAUGUGUGCGUGCUUCACCGGUGCAUGCAUCACCAUAGCAGCCAAGCAAGUAGACAUCAUCGACAUCUACUCACCGCUUUCCUGGCAAUGGAGAAAGAGUCAAACAAAAAAAUAUUAGACCAUGAUAUGACACCAGACAAUAGAUUAAUAACUUUAAAUCACAAAGUAUAUCCACAACACCAUAAAAUAGUCCCAAACCCGAGUGUUAUUUGAGUAUAUCGCAUGUAGUUUAUUUUCAUGAGUCCAGAAACAUGGAAGGGUUCAAUACAGUCCUAAUAUACAUUCAUAUUACAAUAGCUCGAUAAGUCCAGAAAUAUGUUGUAUAUGCACGAUAAGUCCAGAAACCCCAGUGCUUUUUAUUUACUGGUUUUACUGAAUCACACUACAUUACUGCCCUUAUUAGAAAUCUCUCGCAUGAAUCUGGGUGCAGGGUAGAUGCCUUUUUUAUAUGUUCUGCAUUACUACCCCAAGAAACAUUGGCUUUGAACACUUGUGCCAACUCGUUUAGCAACAGACAUAUUCUAGCAGAGAGGCACUCUGAUUUGCCUGUGUGGAUCUGGACAAUUCCCCUCGCUCUACGAGAAGCUACCGAAUAAACAGUUUCACACAUCUGUUGAUUGGUUUUGAUACUCAUAACAAAAGGAUGCAGCAUAUAAACAGCAGCCACAACACAACUACAACGCGGCUCAAAUUUCAAGUUGUUGUGAUGUGCCUGUAGCAUGCUGCCUAAGCAACGGCAAUGCAUAGUGGUACAGCCGAGAGAUCAGUAGCAUCAACACGUUUAGCCCUACUUGGAUCACACGCCCACGUACAGGCCCCAGAGACAAUUCAACCAAAUUGGCCAGGUUCGAGCAGAGCACAAAGGCAAAGACAAAGUAUAUAUCAAUGCCUACAAUCUUCAGUUCAGUACACAUCUCUUUAGAACAAAGUAAUAUUCAGAAUUCAUAUAUCAGUAUAUAUUCAGAAUUGAACCACCAACGACAGCUUUACUAAUAACUCUUUAGUAGAGAGUAAACACCAACAAACUAAUUUCAUCUUGAAGGGUAGUUUUGCAGCAGCAACAAGCAUUAAAACCAGCUACUCUUGUUACUAUAGUGCAGUUCAGUACUAUAGUUCAGUACCAUAUGCCUACAAUCAGACACAAGCUUCAGUACAGUCAAAGUAUAAUUACAAAUAGGAUUAAGAAUCAAACUUGUUACUCAUGGGAUCGUGGCACAGAGCGUUCAGUAAAGAGUAUAACACAAGCUACACUUAUAAACACAAGCUUCAGUUCAGUGCAGAAAUAAACAAGCCUUAGGUUGUGAGCAGCAGUGUUAGAUUGUUUACCUUCAGAGUUCUUCUUCUCCCACCUCCCCAUCCUUCACAAAGCCACCCUCCACCUGAACAAAUCAAGCUUUCAGUUC
rnacentral:lncRNA from 1 species